ACUUCAAUUAGUAUUAAACUUUACUGAGAAGUAAACCAUACUCCAAAUUGUAUAUCCCUAAUUGCGUUUUGGGGUCCUAGGUCAUGAGUUCUUAAAAAGAAUAGUAGUACUUGAAAUAACAUAUAUUAUUAUAAUUAUAAUCAACUUUAGCUCAUCAGGGUAAAUUAAAGAGGAGCAUGACAGGCAAACAUAUUUAUAUUUGACUUAUUUUUGUACUUUAUUUUGAAUAUCAGUAUGUCUGACAUUCUUGGAAUUUUUAGCACUGUUAAGGCAUUAAGUGAUUUAAAUUUAAAUUAGCCCAAUAUGAAGAUGUGAUUUUAGAGAAGCAGAAGUUACAUUCUUUUCUUCAGGCUUAAAACCAAUAACAUCACCAUUCAGACUUAACUGGGCAAGUUGUGGUCCUAGCCUUUUUUUUUUUUAAGCUUACUGUCUUGUAAUUUUUUUUAUUUAAUGAAGUGUUUUGUGCAGAAGGUAUUUCCUGAAGGUUAAAUUAGGAUGGAAGACAGAUCCGUAGUUCUCUCUUCCAUUACAUCUUUCUUUUGGUCUUCAUGGAUGUGAGGAUCCUGCUGCCUUGAUGGCAUUAGUUGGAAACCUGUGUUCUCCUAACUCCAUCAACUCUUCAUUAGCUCAAUUUUGAGAUAAUGAAAAAUUGACUGGAAAUUUAAAAUUCAAACUACUAUCUUUAAAUAAAUUCUGGUCUCUUUUGAAGAUGUAUUCUAAAAGAAAGGAAAUAAGUUACAGUGAUGGAGGUACUGCUUUCAUAAAACAGUUUUUUCAGUAUUUUGAUAAUUUCUAUACUAAUUUUAAUAAUAGAAAACUUAGUAGACUGCUACUGUUUUAUAUCCUAAAGUUAAAAUAGCAUGGAAAUAUCUGUAAAGGUCUGACCAUACCAGAAAAUUAAAGUUGAGAUAUUUAACUAUCAUUUUCUUACUUCACAUAUUAAAGUAAUAUAAUUUAUAUUAUAAAUUAAGUGGUUUAAUUCUUUGUAAUUCCAAAAGAUAUAUUUAACUGAAGGCUUUAUAUUUGGAGACAUUACUUUUAUUUAAUUAAAUAUGCUGCCUUAUCACCCCAGAAAUUUGUCAGCAAUUUAAGCCUCUUUGUGGAGAUACAGUUUUUUGCAGACUUGAAAAUAAUUUGAUUCACACACACACAAAAUUUAACAUACUGUACUAAGGCCGGGAACGGUGGCUCACACUUGUAAUCCCAGCACUUUGGGAAGCCAAGGUGGGCAGAUCACUUGAGGUUAGGAGUUCAAGAUCAGCCUGGCCAACAUGGUGAAACCCCAUCUCUAAUAAAAAUACAAAAAAUUAGCCGGAUGUGGUGGUGUGUGCCUGUAAUCCCAGCUACCUGGAAGGCUGAGGCAGGAGAAUAACUUGAACCUGGGAGGUGGAGGUUGCAGUGAACCGAGAUUGUGCCACUGUAAUCCAGCCUGGGCCACAGAGCAAGACUCCAUCUCAAAAAAAAGAAAAAAAGAUACAAAGUACUGUACUAAAUGGAAUUAAAACCUUGUAUAAAAAAAGACUUAUUUUCUAUUAGAAUAAGUCUGACUUUAAUUUUUAAUUCAAAUGAAUGUGUUAUUACAUAGCCUGGUAUCAACCAUUUUGCUUCAGAGUUCUCUGAAAGAAGACGGAUAAGAAUUUUGCCACUGGUUUGUAAGCUAGUGAAAUAAAAUACCUGCUUCAAUACUUUUUAUAGAAGCUCUUUUUCUUUUGCCCUCUUUCAAGAGCAACACAUUCUCAAACAGUCCCUUUUGUUUUACACCUAAGAGAUCUUCACAACACAAGACAGUACCAUGGGAACAUAUGAGAUGGGUGAGAAAUAUGCCUUUAUUUUAUAAAAAUGGGAGAUGGUUCAUUGUGAAAUGGGAGUGGAAAGAAAAUCCACAGAGUUCAGACUGUUCUCAAACAGAUGGAUUUUAGAAGACUAAUUAGGAAACCACUAGCCUGAGUUAGAGCUUUUGCAAGUGCUCCAACUCAGACAAUUAAGUUUUAAGACAAAGCAUGAGGCUGAGCAGAGGAGUGAGAUCAGCACUGCCCAAAGACUCAGGAGUCCUGAACCUCUGCACAUGUCCCUUAAUAACAAAAUGGGAAGGGGAAAACCUACCUGGCUCUGGGUAAAACCAGAGCAGUCAAUCAGGAAAAAAGAGUUCUAAUAAUUAAAAGGAAGAGAAGCCAGGCAUGUUGGCUCACGCCUGUAAUCCCAGCACUUUGGGAGGCUGAGGCGGGUGGAUCACUUGAGGUCGGGAGUUCGCGACCAGCCUGACCAACAUGGAGAAACCCCGUCUCUACUAAAAAUACAAAAUUAGCCGGGCGUGGUGACACAUGCCUGUAAUCCCAGCUACUUGGGAGCUGAGGCAGGAGAAUCACUUGAACCCGGGAGGCAGAGGUUGUGGUGAGUCGAGAUUGCGCCAUUGCACUCCAGCCUGGGCAACAAAAGCAAAACUCCGUCUCAAAAAAAAAAAAAAAAAAGGGAAAAGAAAAAUUUUAAGUGAAUUAGAGUAAACAUUACCUAGAAUGGCAGAAUUAAUAUUCUUAGGGUGAGAACAGAGAUUACCUAAAAAUUAUUUUAUGGUUCCUAUUCAGUCCUGUUAAAAUGUGAUUUCAUCACUUCCUAGGAGUUUAAACCAAAAUUAAUUAAGCGGUUGUUUAUAUAAUACUCUAAAAUGUCUGCAUAGAAAAUAAAAUAACUUCCAGUGUUUACUGUUACACAUGUGGGAUGUGAGGACUGUGAUAGCAGCUAAGUCAAAAAGACAGCAGAAUUCCUCUAGCACACACUGCAGCAGCAACAGGCUCUCUGGUAUUACCGGCAGUUAUCUAAGAUCUUGAUUAAUAUGUUAUUUUUUAAAUGCAGAUAAAUAAUUUUUCAAGUAUUUAAAACAGUAAUACUGUUUGCUUAGGAGCAGGUAAAACACAAACAGCAAAGAAGCACAGCUCUACCUUACUCUUUGCUAGUGGUUCUUACAUUUAUUCAAGUGCAGAACCAGUGAAAUAAGCUAGUCAAAAAAGGACAAAUACUGUUAUGAUUCUACUCAUGAGGUACUUAAGAGUAGUCAAAUUCAUAGACAAGAAGUAGAAUGACAGUAGCCAGAGGGCAAGGUAUGGAAAGUGGGAGUAAAGUCAUUUUUAAUGAGUACAGUUUCAGUUUAGCAAAACACAAAAUGUUCUGAGAUGGAUGAUCAGGAUGGUUGCACAACAAUGUGUAUGUACUUGAUGUCACUGAACUAUACACUUAAAAAAGAUUUAAAAUAGUAAAUUUUAUGUUAUAUAUAUUUUAACACAAUUUUUUAAAUAACUUUUUAUAAUUCAUGGGAUGAAAAACUUUAAAUUGAGAAAAUUCUACCCAUUGACUUAAUCUUUCCUAAAAAUUAAAGAUUUCUAUUAUUCUAUUUUAGUGGCAGAACAUCACUACUCUAAGGACCAUGACUUAAAAUACACAUAUUGAUACAACAGUAUGUUCCUGGAAAAGUACAUAUAGUCUCAUUUGUACUUUUUGUACAUAUUUUUGUAAGCAAACAUUUAUAAAUCUGUUGCUAUUAAAUGCUACAGAAAGUUUUAUAUAAGCUUUCUAUAUACACAUAAACGAGAGAAAUAUAAAUGAGUGAAAAGUAUUGACCCACCAAAAAAAUGGCAGGCUUACUCUUCAUAUCCUAUGAAAAUACUAUGAUAAUAUUUACUAAUAGUUUAUAAAAUUUUAUCAUAAUCAUUUACUACUCUCUCCACCUAAAAAUAGAAAAAGCAAAUGAAAACCAGGUAGGAAGAUUCUAUUUGUAAUGAAAAUGUUUAUGCUAUAAUUAUAUUUAUUUUCAAAAUGCUUUAUAAGUGGGAGCUAAACAAAGGGUACAUAUGGAGAUAAAAAUGGAGGAAAAAAACUCGAGACUCCAAAGGAAAGAGGACAGAAGUACGGAGGGUGGAAAAAUUACCAAUGGAUACAAUGCCCAGUAUUUGGGUGAUGAGUACGGAAGCCCAACCCCCCACCAUUAUGCAUGUAAUAUCCAUGUAAUAAAUAAGCAUAUGUACCCUUGCAUCUAAAUUUUUUGUUAAUGCUUUAUUAGGCCAGGCAUGGUGGCUCACGCCUGUAAUCUCAGCACUUUGGGAGGCCAGGGCAGGCAGUUCACUUGAGGCCAGGAGUUUGAGAUGGGAUUUUGCCAUGUUGGCCGGGAUUUUGCCCAAAUUAGCUGGGCAUGGUGGCGCAUGACUGUAAUCCCAGCACUCGGGAGGCUGGGGCACAAGAACUGCUUGAACCCAAGAGGUGGAGUGGGCUGCAGUGAGACAAGAUCACACCACUGCACUCCAGUCUGGGCAACACAGACUAUAUCUCAAAAAAUAUAUAUACUUUUUAAUUAAGUGCUUUACUAGAUUGUUUUAAAUAACUAAUGAAUAAACCAUAAACUAUCUUCUAUUAAUGCUUUGUCUUGACACAUCAAAUGUCAUGAUGGUAUGGUUUGAUGAGUAUUAAAUAGGAUAUUUUGAUAUUUUAUAACUAAAAAUAUAAGAAUUUGCAUUUCCUAAAAAGUAAUGAUUUAAUUUUUUAUAUUUUAUUCUCCUUGAAAUGAAAAGCUGAACU
rnacentral:lncRNA from 10 species